UUGAACGCUGGCGGCAUGCCUUACACAUGCAAGUCGAACGGCAGCACGGGUGCUUGCCCCUGGUGGCGAGUGGCGAACGGGUGAGUAAUACAUCGGAACAUGUCCUGUAGUGGGGGAUAGCCCGGCGAAAGCCGGAUUAAUACCGCAUACGAUCUACGGAUGAAAGCGGGGGGCCUUCGGGCCUCGCGCUAUAGGGUUGGCCGAUAGCUGAUUAGCUAGUUGGUGGGGUAAAGGCCUACCAAGGCGACGAUCAGUAGCUGGUCUGAGAGGACGACCAGCCACACUGGGACUGAGACACGGCCCAGACUCCUACGGGAGGCAGCAGUGGGGAAUUUUGGACAAUGGGCGAAAGCCUGAUCCAGCAAUGCCGCGUGUGUGAAGAAGGCCUUCGGGUUGUAAAGCACUUUUGUCCGGAAAGAAAUCCUUGGCUCUAAUACAGUCGGGGGAUGACGGUACCGGAAGAAUAAGCACCGGCUAACUACGUG
rnacentral:rRNA from 1 species